rnacentral:rRNA from 1 species
ACUACAGAUUGAACGCCAGUGGGCGCUUCUGCACAAGGCAAUGAGAAUGGGAAAGGUGGAGCUUUGGCUUUCCAUUACAAGUAUGAUAAAGAGUAACACGUAGAUUCCACUCAGUGGGGGAUAACCCGAAACUCAGGCUAAUACCGCAUAAUCUUUUUUAAAAGCAAAGCGGGGGAUCUUCGGACCUCGCUAUAAGAUGAGCCUGCGUCGGAUUAGCUAGUUGGUAGGGUAAUAGCCUACCAAGGCAACAAUCCGUAGCUGGUCUGAGAGGACGAUCAGCCACACUGGGACUGAGACACGGCCCAGACUCCUACGGGAGGCAGCAGUGGGGGGAAUAUUGGACAAUGGGGGAAACCUGAUCCAGCAAUGCCGUGUGUGAAGAAGGCCUUCGGGUUGUAAAGCACUUUCAGGGAAAGAAAGUCCAAAGUUAAUACCUUUUGAGAGCUGACGUUACCUACAAAAGAAGCACUGGCUAACCCCAGCCAGCAGCCAUGGUAAUACAGAGAGUGCAAGGCAUCUGAAUUACUAAGAAGGCAUGUAGGUGGAUAUUUAAGUCGAAUGUGAAAGCCCUAGGCUUAACCUAGGAACUGCAUCCGAUACUAAAUAUCUAGAGUAUGGUAGAGGGAAGUGAAUUCCGGUGUAGCGGUGAAAUGCGUAGAUAGAAAGAACACCAGUGGCGAAGGCGGCUUCCUAGACCAAUACUGACACUGAGGUGCGAAAGCGUGGGGAGCAAACAGGAUUAGAGACCCUGGUAGUCUCACGCCGUCAACGAUGAGAACUAGCUGUUAAAAAGUUUACUUUCUAGUAGCAAAGCUAACGCGUUAAGUUCUCCGCCCAGGGGGAGUACGGCCGCAAGGUUAAACUCAAAGAAAUUGACGGGGCCCGCACAAGCGGUGGAGCAUGUGGUUUAAUUCGAUGCACCGCGAAAAAACUCAGUUUGUCUACCCUUGACAUCCUCGGAACUUGUCAGAGAUGACUUGCGUUUCGGGAACCGAGUGACAGGUGCUGCAUGGCUGUCGUCAGCUCGUGUCGUGAGACGUUAAGAAGUCCCGUAACGAGCGCAACCCCUCGUCCUUAGUUGCCAGCGGUUCGCCGGGAACUCUAAGGAAACCGUCGGUGAUAAACCGGAGGAAGGUAGUGAUGAUGUCAAGUCAUGGCCCUUACGGGUAGGGCUACACACGUGCUACAAUGGGCAGUACAAAGGGUUGCUACAUCGUGAGGUAAAGCUAAUCCCAAAAACUGUUCGUAGUCCGGAUUGAGCCCGCAACCUGACUCCAGAAGUUGGAAUCGCUAGUAAUCGCGAAUCAGAAUGUCGCGGUGAAUACGUUCCUCGGGCCUUGUACACACCGCCCGUCACACCAUGGAAGUGAAUUGUACCAGAAGCGGGUAAGCUAACCCUCGGGAAGCUGCUCACCACGGUAUGAUUCAUGACUGGGGUGAAGUCGUAACAAGGUAACCG